rnacentral:rRNA from 1 species
UACAGAGGGUGCAAGCGUUUAAUCGGAAUUACUGGGCGUAAAGCGUGCGUAGACGGUUAUGUAAGUCGGGUGUGAAAGCCCCGGGCUCAACCUGGGAAUGCCAUUCGAGACUGCAUAGCUAGGGUGCGGAAGAGGGAAGCGGAAUUUCCGGUGUAGCGGUGAAAUGCGUAGAUAUCGGAAGGAACACCAGUGGCGAAAGCGGCUUCCUGGUCCAGCACCGACGUCAGGCACGAAAGCGUGGGGAGCAAACAGGG